rnacentral:rRNA from 2 species
CGAGUUCUCGUUGAUGAUCGGUGCUUGCACCGAGAUUCAACAUGGAACGAGUGGCGGACGGGUGAGUAACACGUGGGUAACCUGCCCUUAAGUGGGGGAUAACAUUUGGAAACAGAUGCUAAUACCGCAUAGAUCCAAGAACCGCAUGGUUCUUGGCUGAAAGAUGGCGUAAGCUAUCGCUUUUGGAUGGACCCGCGGCGUAUUAGCUAGUUGGUGAGGUAAUGGCUCACCAAGGCGAUGAUACGUAGCCGAACUGAGAGGUUGAUCGGCCACAUUGGGACUGAGACACGGCCCAAACUCCUACGGGAGGCAGCAGUAGGGAAUCUUCCACAAUGGACGCAAGUCUGAUGGAGCAACGCCGCGUGAGUGAAGAAGGCUUUCGGGUCGUAAAACUCUGUUGUUGGAGAAGAAUGGUCGGCAGAGUAACUGUUGUCGGCGUGACGGUAUCCAACCAGAAAGCCACGGCUAACUACGUGCCAGCAGCCGCGGUAAUACGUAGGUGGCAAGCGUUAUCCGGAUUUAUUGGGCGUAAAGCGAGCGCAGGCGGUUUUUUAAGUCUGAUGUGAAAGCCCUCGGCUUAACCGAGGAAGCGCAUCGGAAACUGGGAAACUUGAGUGCA